UGGGCCCUGUUGGCGGGAACUUCAGCUGGCAGCUAGCCGUCGAACCUUAUACAGCACCCCCGACGGAAGCAACUCUCUCGAUAUUGGAUUCCUUCUGCUCACUCUCACCAUCUUUCCUUAACAUUGCAGCACAUCCACCCUCUCUUACUUCCAAAAAUUUGAAGAAAAACAGAAGGAAUACAGAAGCGCGCAGCAGUGCUGGCUCUGUGUGAAGGAAAUUUUCGGCAGCAUGUGGAACUGGAGGAACGGCAAUGGAAUGAAGAAACGGAAAAUGAUCGCGCUGGAAUAGAAUCCAGUUUAAACGUGUAGUUGGCUGUUUUGCUCUCUUCGUUUUGGUUCUGAGAAGAAUUUCACUUCCGAGUUCGAGUACGGAUUUAGAGAUUAAUUCUUAGUGCUUUUACAUGGAGGAUCAGAGCUGUAGGAGUGGUAAUCAUGGUAAUGGUAGCGAAAACCAGUGGAGAGCUGAGGAAGCGAUUGCUGGAAACUCCGAUGCCCUUAAAGCACUGAGAGAACUGAUCAUUUUCCCACUACUGUUCUCCCAGGAAGCUCAAAAAAUCGGUCUAAGAUGGCCUCGAGGAUUGCUUCUAUACGGA